GAUCCUGGCUCAGGAUGAACGCUGGCGGCGCGCCUAACACAUGCAAGUCGAACGGCACCCCUCUCCGGAGGGAAGCGAGUGGCGAACGGCUGAGUAACACGUGGAGAACCUGCCCCCUCCCCCCGGGAUAGCCGCCCGAAAGGACGGGUAAUACCGGAUACCCCGGGGUGCCGCAUGGCACCCCGGCUAAAGCCCCGACGGGAGGGGAUGGCUCCGCGGCCCAUCAGGGUAGACGGGCGGGGGUGACGGCCCACCGUGCCGACAACGGGUAGCCGGGUUGAGAG
rnacentral:rRNA from 1 species